rnacentral:sRNA from 1 species
CCUUUCCGGAGCGCGGGCGCGCGGUGGCGGGAAUUUCGCCUGUUUGCUGUUUAGACCCCAGAGAUUCCUGGUGGUGGUCUGGGUCACAGGAGGCAGGUUUCGGGAGCUGGAAGUGUGAGCAGGUACGACAGGCACCGCGGGAAUCUCUUCACACCUUCUCUUUGGAGCCCUUAAUGAUACGACGAACCCCAAAUGUUUCAGAACAUGAAGUAAACAAUGGAGAACUGUUUUGCUGCAUCGACUUUCCUGACUGACAGCUUAGAGCUGGAACUGGGGACGGAAUGGUGCAAACCUCCUUACUUUUCUUGUGCUGUUGACAACAGAGGAGGAGGAAAACAUUUUUCUGGAGAAUCCUACCUCUGCAGCGGAGCCCUUAAGCGAUUGAUUUUGAAUCUUGACCCUUUACCAACUAAUUUUGAAGAAGAUACCUUGGAAAUAUUUGGCAUUCAGUGGGUUACUGAAACAGCAUUAGUGAAUUCAUCUAGAGAACUCUUUCAUUUAUUCAGGCAACAACUGUACAACUUGGAAACCUUGUUACAGUCCAGUUGUGAUUUUGGGAAGGUAUCAACUCUACACUGCAAAGCAGACAAUAUUAGACAGCAGUGUGUACUAUUUCUCCAUUAUGUUAAAGUUUUCAUCUUCAGGUAUCUGAAAGUACAGAAUGCUGAGAGUCAUGUUCCUGUCCAUCCUUAUGAGGCUUUGGAAGCUCAACUUCCCUCAGUGUUGAUUGAUGAGCUUCAUGGAUUACUCUUGUAUAUUGGACACCUAUCUGAACUUCCCAGUGUUAAUACAGGAGCAUUUGUAAAUCAAAACCAGAUUAAGGUUUGACUUGUUUCAUUUGAUUUUUAAAUUACCAGCUUUUUCUCCCCACAAGGAAUAUUCAUUCAAGAAGGAGAGCAAUUAGUCAGAAUUACAGCUCUGGAACCUGACUGCCUGAGUUGAAAUUCUUGCCCCCCAUCCUCCUUUCAUUAAUUAUGUGCUUUUGGGCAAAUGACACCUCAGCCUCCCCAUCUGUUUAAUUCUUAUAACUUACUAGAAUCAUUGGAUGAAUUAAAUAAAUUCAUAUACAUGAAGUUAUUAAAACAUAGUAGUCAUUUAAUCAGUAGCUAUUCUCUUGAUUUAUGACAGUAUAAAUGUCUGAAAAUUUUAAAGCAAAUGAAAUAAUCUUUAUUUUCUAAAAUUUUUAUCAUAUAUUACAAUAAGAUUCAAGAUCAGCUUAUAAAAAAACUUUCAAGACCACAUCAUUAUGUGUAUUCUGACUUUUGAGGCCUUUUUGGAAUGUGAUUAAGAUUGUUUUGACUGUGCUCUUUUUUUCCUACCUGUGGUAAUCAUUCCCUCUGAAGUUUGGUUUUUAAAAAUUUAUAUUGUUACCAUGCCUAGCUUAUAGGUAAGUAAUAGAUUCUGCCUAUGAAGAUGGGAGCUUAUAUGAAUAACAAAUUAUGGUAAUUCACAGUGAGAUUCCCUGAAGUCUCAGCCCCUUUCAUUAUAUUUGACUUUACCAUUUUGAAUAAUAUUUACUCUUUAUGAACAUAUCUUUGUUAAAAUAUAAAAACAGCUGAGCAUGGUAGCUCCUGCCUGUAAUCCCAACACUUUGGGUGGCUGAGGCAGAAGGAUUGCUUGAAUCUAGGAUUUGAGACAAGCUUGGGCAACAUAGCGACACCCCAUCUCUACAAAAAAUUAAAAAGUUAGUCCAGUGUGGUGGCACAUACCUUGUAGUCCUGGCUACUCAGGAGGUUCAGGUGGGAGGAUCCGUUGAACUCAGGAGGUCGAGGCUGUGGUGAGACAUGAUUGCACCACUGCAUUCCAGCCUGGAUGACAGAGCAAGACCCUAUCUCAAGAUAUAAAAUAAGUAGAAUUAAAUGUUUACAUAUUUCUGUGAAAUGAAGCAGAAACAAGUUGACUUUUUCAUCAGAGAUCAAUAUAUGUAAUAAUAAAGCAAAGUUGUAACUGAAUUUACAAGUUAAUAUAUCUAAUCAAUAGAAAACAGAUAAUGGCUUUUAAUUAUGUCAUUUAAUAAAAAGAUUCAUGAGUAGAUUGUUGAGGGAGGGAUAUUUUCCUUACUAGUUUCUGUAAGUUGGACUGGUUUUUAUUUUCUAGUUAUCCAUCAAAUACGUAAGAAAUAAAAAUGAAUAAUUUAUAUAGCAGCAGAAAUAAAAAUUUGUGCACUAGGGUCCUCAAACUAGGUUUUGCCUUUCAUAGGCUUUUUAAUUAGGCAGACUUGAAAACAUAGGUUAUUUGAAGCUCAGAAGACUAAAUUUUUAAAGCAGGGGAACUUUACAGUCUUCAAAAAAUAAAAAAUCACACACUAAAAUACUGUUCUUUUCUGAAACAAAAAAGCAUAAUAAAAUAAAAAGCAUCUUUCAAGACUAUAUAUUUGUUAUAACAGUCUUGUAUGUGAAAUGUCUUGUUUUAAUUGGUAUUUCCAGUUGAGCUUCUUUUAUUAUUUUUUAGGAGCUCUCUAGAUAUAUAUUAGUUGUUGGGAAUUAUGUAUUGCAAAUAUUUUAUUUACUUUUUCAUCAAGUAAGCUGACUUUCUAGGUCGAUUGGAAUUUUUAGAUAGUUAUAUUUUUCCAUUUUUUGUUUUAUCUAUGCUGUUAAAAUAUUUUGAUUGUUGCUUUUAUUUCUUUAAUUCAUGUUAUUUUUAAAUAUGCAGCGAGGUGAGAAGUCUAACUUUGGUUUCUUGCAAAGUUAAAAAUCUUAUUUUUUAUUGAAUGACCCAUACUUUUCCCAUUGAUUUGAGAUGCCACAUAAAUUUAUUUCUGUCUUCUCUGUUCUUGUUGUUUGUUUUCUAUUUCUGUCCCAAUAUUGUUUUGUCAGUGUAGCAUUUUAUUUUGUUUGUAUACCUAAUAAGGCAGGUCUACUCUUCAUCAUUCUUUCUAUUUGUUUUAAUGGAACAUGUUAUGUCAUUGUAUUUAUUUUUAUAGUGUUGCUAAAUGCUGACAGGAGGAAGGUUAUUAAUAACCCAGUAUAACACAGUACUUGAAAGUGCUGGGUUUUGACUCAGGUAGAAUUGAGUUUGAAUACUAAUACAUGAAUUGAGAGGUAAAUUUUUUCACCUCUUUUAACUUCUGUUUCUUAAUGAGAUGACAAUAAUGUCUACAUGACAGUCAGUCUAAAGUUCUUUUGCUAAAAUAUUUUAUAGGAGUUCCUGGGUACUCAUACAUUAAAAAAAAUUCCUAGCUAAAUUCUAAAACAAAAUUAUGAAAAUACGUGUUAAAAAAUUCUUUUACUGCCUUGCAGCUAUAGUAGAAUCAGAGGUUGGUUGGAAGGUACCUUUACUAUACAAGUCUAUUCAGCAGCCCCAAGGUGGGUUUGUCUUAAACCAACAGAUGAAAAUAUUUCCUGCUUUCAAAGAUCUUCAGUGAAAGAAUCCUCUAAUGAACAAGACAGAGGUUUUCCCUGAGCUUUUGAAUAGUGGUAGGUUAAUUGGUUCUUUAUCCUUGUGUUUGUGGAGGAGUAUUGUGACAUGCUAUGAAAUACCUAGUAAAAUAUUAAUGAAUUCUCAAUCACAGUUGAUAAUGUCAUCCACAGCUUUUUCCACCAUCAUGGCAUUUAUUACAUCUCCACUUGGAUAUACAUUGGCUGGUGCUAGAAAUUCUUUACAUGCUGGGUGAAAAAUUGAAACAAGUUGUAUAUGGUCAUCAGUUUAUGAAUCUGGCAAGUGACAAUUUAACCAAUGUCAGCCUACUUGAAGAACAUUGUGAAACUCUCCUUUGUGAUUUAAUAAGCCUGUCACUCAACAGGUAUGACAAGGUAAUGCUUUUAAGAGUUUGUUUGUAUUUUUGAGACUUAAAGACGGUAUUCAGUCCUUAAUGCAUGUCAUUUAAUCUGUAAGAAUUUAAUCUAAAAUGGUAUGUAUGUUCUAAUUUUAUAUUUAGUUGCUAUUAUCUGGGAGCUGAAAGGGAAAACAAUUUUUAUUUAAACAUCUAAAAGAGGCUGGCAUUGGUAUUUUAGAGGUUUUCUUUUUUCUUUUUCUUUUUUUUUUUUUUAAGAAAAAUAGCCUUUUCUAUUUUGACAAAAAUAAAUAAAUAAAAAUGAUGUUUACUGAAAUCAUUGGAAGCCUAAUUUCUAUCCAAAUAGUAGAGGCCAGCUCUUUAAUAAUGUAUUGUAUUGCUGUUAUGUAAUAAUAAAAUAAAUGCUUACUUAAAGUUACUUCACACAUUUUAAGAGAGGAUUUUCUUGCUUGUUUUCAUAAAAGGUCUCGCAUCUGGGUAAAAUUAUGUGUUUUUAUUAAAUUGUGUUUAUCAUAGAGUGUUUAAUGGAGACAGUGAUUUAAAGGUGCUACAGAACAUGUUCAUUUUUAAGUAGUAUAAAUGUUUAGAGUAUUAUCUGUUAUUUUAGAUUACAAGCAUAAAGACUGUUUUUGGGAAAUCAAGGUUGAGGGAAAAGGAGUUUUAUAAUUUUUCAAAAUUUAGAUUUUUUUAGGCAUUGUCCAUAUUUUUACAAUUUAGUGUGUAUAUGUAUUAGUGGAUUAACCAGAUAUGAUAGACUGAUAACUUUUAAAUAUUUAUUUAUUUAUUUUUGAUAAUUGACAAAAUUAUAUAUAUUUAUCAUAUACAUCAUGUUUUGGUAUGUGUAUACAGUGUAGAAUGGCUAAAUAUAGCUAAUUAACAUGAAUUAUCUCACAUUCUUAUUUUUUGUGUGAGAACACUUAAAAUCUAUGCUUUUAGUGAUUUUCAAGAAUACAAUAUAGUACAUUGUUUUUAACUAUAGUCAUCAUGUUGAGCUUAUUCCUCUUAUCUAACUGAAAUUUUGUAUGCUUUGAUCAACAUCUACCCCGCCUCCCUCCUAAUCCUCCUCACAGCCCUUGGUAAGGAUCAUCCUACUGUGCUUCUAUGAGUUCAGCUUUUUUGGAUUCCACAUAUAAGUGAGAUUAUGUGUUACUUGUCUUUCUGUGCCUGGCUUAUUUCACUUAAUAUAGUGUCCUCCAGGUUCAUCCAUAUUGUUGCAGAUGACAGUAUUUCCAUCUUCUCAAGGCUGAAUAGUAGGGUCAUACACUGUGUAACAAAGUUUUAGUCAGUGACAGACCACAUAUACAAGGUGGCUAUACCACAUAGCCUAGGUGUGCAGUAGUAGGCUGAAAAAGUUUAAGUACAAUAAAUCAUGUUAGCCUAAAGACGUGCUUCUCAGAACGUGUCCUGCUGUUAAGUGACACGUGACUAUAUUCCAUUGUGUAUAGAAACCACAUUUUCUUUAUGCAUUCAUCUGUUGAUGGACAGUUUGGUUGAUUCCAUGUCUUGGCUCUUGUAAAUAAUGCUGCAGUGAACAUGGGAAUGGAGCUAUCUCUUGAACAUACUAAUUUCAUUUUCUUUGCAAAUAUACCUAGUAGGAUUGCUGGAUCAUGUGGUAGUUCUAUUUUUAAUUUUGUGAGGAAUUUGCGUACUGUAUUACAUGAUGGCUGUACCAAUUUACAUUCUCACCAAACUGUGCAAGGGUUUUCUCGUCACCACUUCCUCUCUGGUGCUUAUUAUCUUUUGUCUUUUUGGUAAUAGCCAUUAUAGCAGGUUUGAGGUGAUAUCUCAUAAAGUUUUAAUUUGCAUUUCCAUAAUGAGUAGUGACAUUGAGCAUUUUUCAUGUACUGCUUGCCCAUUUGUAUGUCUUCUUUUAAGAAAUGUCAGCUAGGCGUGGUGGCUCACGCCUGUAAUCCCAGCACUUUGGGAGGCCGAGGCAGGCAGAUGACAAAGUCAGGAGAUCGAGACCAUCCUGGUUAACAUAGUGAAACCUGUCUCUACUAAAAAUACAAAAAAUUAGCCGGGCAUGGUGGUGCAUGCGUGUAGUCCCAGCUACUUGGGAGGCUGAGGCGGGAGAAUUGCUUGAACCUGGGAGGUGCAGAUUGCAGUGAGCCGAUAUUGUGCCACUGCACUCCUGCCUGGCAACAGAGCAAGACUCUGUCUCAAAAAAAAAAA